rnacentral:rRNA from 1 species
UACGUAGGCAGCGAGCGUUGUUCGGAGUUACUGGGCGUAAAGGGUGCGUAGGCGGUUUUCCAAGUUUGGGGUGAAAUCUCCCGGCUUAACUGGGAGGGUGCGCCGAAAACUAGGAGACUUGAGUACCGGAGAGGUAAGCGGAAUUCCUGGUGUAGCGGUGAAAUGCGUAGAGAUCAGGAGGAACACCUGUGGUGUAGACAGCUUACUGGACGGUCACUGACGCUGAGGCACGAAAGCGUGGGUAGCAAACAGG